GGAUGUGAGGGUGAUCUGGUUGUGACAUCUAUCACCCCAUUGAUUGCCAGGGUUGAUUCAGCUUAUCUGGCUGGCUAGGUGGGUGACUCCUUCCUUCCUCACUGCUCCAUGCACAUCUCUCCCGAAGCUGUGCACUUGGUCAAAAAGGACAACUAUCCCCAAUAGAGGAGGACUGAUUUCAGUCAAAGGUAUACCAGAAGCUGUGCCCCGCUGCUAGAACAUCCGAACAAAAGUCUACAAACAAUAAAUGCUGGAGAGGGUGAGGAGAAAAGGGAACACUGUUGGGAAUAUAUUGAAUAAAUCUGUACAACCAUU
ensembl:misc_RNA 7SK 7SK RNA